rnacentral:rRNA from 1 species
GACGGUGGCAACGAGUCAGACCUUCUGGCCCGAAAGGGUUGGACAAACUGGUCAAUCACCGUCAUGACAGGGAUCGGGGCUUGGAAUUGUUCCCCGUGAACGAGGAAUUCCUAGUAAGUGCAAGUCAUAAGCUUGCGCUGAUUACGUCCCUGCCCUUUGUACACACCGCCCGUCGCUACUACCGAUUGAAUGGUUUAGUAAGGUCCUUGGAUUGGUGCCAUUGUGGUGGUCGUCCCGCCGAAAGGUGGCGGCCCACCGACAGGUGCGAGAAGACGACCGAAC